rnacentral:tRNA from 1 species
GAGCCUUUAAUUUAAUGGUAGAAUGGUUUCUUGAUAAGGAACUUGUAGGAGUUCAAAGCUUCUAGGGCUUA